UCCUUUGACGUUAGCGGCGGACGGGUGAGUAACACGUGGGUAACCUACCUAUAAGACUGGGAUAACUUCGGGAAACCGGAGCUAAUACCGGAUAAUAUUUCGAACCGCAUGGUUCGAUAGUGAAAGAUGGUUUUGCUAUCACUUAUAGAUGGACCCGCGCCGUAUUAGCUAGUUGGUAAGGUAACGGCUUACCAAGGCGACGAUACGUAGCCGACCUGAGAGGGUGAUCGGCCACACUGGAACUGAGACACGGUCCAGACUCCUACGGGAGGCAGCAGUAGGGAAUCUUCCGCAAUGGGCGAAAGCCUGACGGAGCAACGCCGCGUGAGUGAUGAAGGUCUUCGGAUCGUAAAACUCUGUUAUUAGGGAAGAACAUACGUGUAAGUAACUAUGCACGUCUUGACGGUACCUAAUCAGAAAGCCACGGCUAACUACGUGCCAGCAGCCGCGGUAAUACGUAGGUGGCAAGCGUUAUCCGGAAUUAUUGGGCGUAAAGCGCGCGUAGGCGGUUUUUUAAGUCUGAUGUGAAAGCCCACGGCUCAACCGUGGAGGGUCAUUGGAAACUGGAAAACUUGAGUGCAAAAGAGGAAAGUGGAAUUCCAUGUGUAGCGGUGAAAUGCGCAGAGAUAUGGAG
rnacentral:rRNA from 1 species